CAGGAAUCAAGAGAUAAAGACAUUCAACAGUUUUUAAAAGGUUCAAUUAUGAAUGCUGUCACAGAGUUGAUGGGAAAAGAAAAAGAUAUUCCACAAGAGAAAACAGAACUGUUGAAGAAAAUGGAAAUGAUGGCAAGGGAAGGGAUUGUUGGCGGAACUAGUGGCGAGCAAAGGUGUAAAACAAGAUGUUCAAACAUUUUCCCUUGAGCAUAGAUACUGAUUUUUAAACGUGGGGUUGAUUAUUAUUGCAGUUAAAUUUCUGGAAUAGGCGUUCAUGCAUGUGAG
rnacentral:misc_RNA from 1 species